UAGCAUGUCUAAGUACAUACCUUUAACGGUGACCCGCGAAUGGCUCAUUAAAUCAGCUAUGGUUCCUUGGAUCGUACAUACUACAUGGAUAACUGUAGUAAUUCUAGAGCUAAUACAUGCCACUAUGCCCUGACCCGCGAGGGAACGGGUGGAUUUAUUAGAACAGAACCAACCGGGGGCGGCUUCGGUCGUCCCUGUUGAUUCUGUGAUGACUCUGGAUAACUUCACUGAUCGA
rnacentral:rRNA from 1 species